UCUUGAUACAUGUGAAUUGUAAUGCUUGCUGUAAAUUUCUCUUAUAACUACUACUACUAGUAAUACUAAUAGUAUCAUUAUCACAGUAUCAGUCAGAAAUAAGAAGUAUAUACAUUUUUCAUGGGUAAAGCAAAAUCAAAGUUCAUUAUGGUUUUGAUGAGAAGUAUAGUGAGUGGUCACCACAUUGUUACCACUAGGCCCAGAUUGGCUGACAAGUUAGAGUUUAUUAAAUACGAUCCUUACAUUCAAAAAAAAUCCCUAUACAGAGAGGAGAAGAAGAUUAGAAGUACAUGAGGUCAACCAUGAAAAUGGUUCUGCAAUAUGAGAAAGCCUAGAAACAAUACUUGUAUAAUUAGGUGUAUUAAAUGUAGCUCAUUUUGACAGUAUAUUGAAAAAUGUGAGCAAGUGAUUGAGUUCUUUUUUCAAAUAAAAGCACUUAGAAAUUCAUAA